UUGCUGCUUGGAACCUGAGCAAUGAACCUGAGUCUAGUGGGCUGAAGGGCUGAAUCAACAACUCAUUUCUGGCAGGGUGCCAGAACAGACAAAAGUGGGCACAAAGUCUCCCAUGAGGAAGCCGUGGGGGAAUGGCCGCCUACCAGGGCCAGGAGUGCUUAAAGACUCUGGUAGACUAGCACCCUGGAAGGGGUCUGAGUUAUGUUUCAUAGAAAUUGUGUGUGAUUUGGCUGGAAGACUGAGUCACUAGAAACUGCCAGAUAGGGUUACCCUAGACUGAAAGAGGUGCAGACACAUGCCCAAACAAGUGUGUGCUCAUGAGAAGUAGGUACCAUUCCCUUCCAGAGUCACACAAACUUUAGUCAGUUGACCCAGACUCAUUGCUGUGGGUUUUGUGUUUUUUGCAGUGUAGGCGUAACUUCAGACACUCGGGGAUUAGGAACCAAGCUCUUCACAGAAAUGACCUUUUGCCUUGUGAGGAAUGGUGGGAUGAGCCUGGACUGUUUUGUGUGCUGCAGGAUUAUUGUUUGCCUUUUCCUUUGUGUUGGAUUUCAUUCAUGCCCAGUAGGUGGGAAAACCUCCUUAAGAUGUACAGAUGGGAGCCUUCACCCAGCACUCCAAACUACCACUGCAGCAACACCUACAGCCAUAGUGGGAUGUCUGGGGCAAGUGAGGUGCCCACCUGCACCUCAAGGGGGUGCCCUAGAGACAUAACCUGAGGACAUUUUUGAGACGUGAUAGAUCGAUCCCCAAAUGCGCUCCCAUCGGCUUUGGAACUCCACCAGGGUGAGUGGCGGUAGUGGAGUAGAUGGGGAGAGCCGCGGCCGUCGAUCCUGCACUGUGAGGAUGGGAGACCUGCACUAUCAGGGACUUCCAGCUGGCUACCAUGGCCCCCAGGACCUCUGAAGAUGGCUAUGUGGAAAAGGCAGUGGACUUCCUGAGCCCAAUUCUGAUCUCAGUGACACUGUAUUUAUAUCACUGCACCUCCAUUGACUUCAGUGGAGUUACUCCUGAUUUAAACCAGUGCAGGACCUGGGCAAUAAAUAAAUCAUG